AGCUAAUUAAACCUAAACAUAUUAGCACAUGGGCCUCAAUAGAGUGGGAUCCAGGGACCAGGAAAAUAAACAUCAUAAUCCAAUAGUAGUCCAUAAGGCACAGAUAAAUAGAGACAACAUAUAAGGCAGGACAAAAGAGGCAGUGGGCCAACUUGAGUUUUAUACCCCAAAGCCUCAGCCAUUCUGGGUUAUUCCCACUGACCACUCAUCAGCUGACUAGCAGCAGCUUUUGCCUGGUUUCUAGAUGGGACAAGUUCCCACAGGAACACAGCUGAACUGUUUAGGACUAAUUAGUGAGGCUUCUGCUUUGGCCUUAAAAGGCUUGAGCCAGAAUAAGCUCAUGUGCAGAUGGCUUGAUGUGGGUGGAUAUUUUCAGGUUUAGAAAAUGGUCAUUGAAAUGUACAGAGGAAAAAUGGAUUUGUUUGCAUCACUAGACUUCCUGUUCAUAUGGGAACUAUGCAGUUCCUGUGACAACACCAAAAGGGUUCUGGGACUGGACUCCACACUCCACCUGCAAGAAGAGUGCACCGUUUAAAACAUUCCGGUAUUACUGUUCAACAGUCUGAAGUCAUUCUGCUGGAUCUACAUUCACCUUUCGACUUUUCUGUUGUUGUGCUUAACAGCACUAGUAUCCUUGCCUAGUGUCAAUAUCUGAUCAGACACUUUGUAGAGAUACUAGACUGCAUUUCUGUCUCCAGUCACUGUUAACUGCUGGAAUUUUGUUGACGACUUCUGCC
rnacentral:lncRNA from 11 species